GCUCAGAACGAACGUUCGCGGCGCGCCUAACACAUGCAAGUCGCACGAGAAAGGGCUUCGGCCCCGGUACAGUGGCGCACGGGUGAGUAACACGUAGAUCAUCUCCCCUCGAGUGGUGGAUAACUCUCCGAAAGGAGAGCUAAUACAGCAUGAGACCACGGCUUCGUUGAAGCUGCGGCCAAAGCAGGCCUCUACACGUAAGCUUGCGCUUGAGGAUGAGUCUGCGGCCCAUCAGCUAGUUGGUAGGGUAAUGGCCUACCAAGGCUAAGACGGGUAGCUGGUCUGAGAGGAUGAACAGCCACACUGGAACUGAGACACGGUCCAGACUCCUACGGGAGGCAGCAGUGGGAAUCUUGCGCAAUGGGCGAAAGCCUGACGCAGCGACGCCGCGUGAGCGAUGAAGGCCUUCGGGUUGUAAAGCUCUGUGGGGAGGAAAGAAUAAGGUUUGGCUAAUAUCCAAGCCGAUGACGGUACCUCCUUAGCAAGCACCGGCUAACUCUGUGCCAGCAGCCGCGGUAAGACAGAGGGUGCAAACGUUGUUCGGAAUUACUGGGCGUAAAGCGCGUGUAGGCGGCUUUGCAAGUCGGGUGUGAAAUCCCACGGCUCAACCGUGGAAGUGCACUCGAAACUGCAAGGCUAGAGUUCUGGAGAGGAAGGUGGAAUGCUUGGUGUAGAGGUGAAAUUCGUAGAUAUCAAGCGGAACACCGGUGGCGAAGGCGGCCUUCUGGACAGUAACUGACGCUGAGACGCGAAAGCGUGGGGAGCAAACAGGAUUAGAUACCCUGGUAGUCCACGCCGUAAACGAUGAGUGCUAGGUGUCACGGGCUUUGACCCUCGUGGUGCCGAAGCUAACGCGUUAAGCACUCCGCCUGGGGAGUACGGUCGCAAGACUAAAACU
rnacentral:rRNA from 1 species